AGUUGACAAAAUUGCGUAGGUCAUUAAUUAGUUUAAUUAAGUGGUGGCAUAGAUUUAAUUGAUUAAAAGCAACAGCAGGAGAAUCUUGUUCUAAUAUUACCAUUUGUAUACAAAAUUUAAGAGAAUGAUGUGAUUAAAAUUUUGCUAUAAAAUAACUUCAUUUUAAGUUUCAACAAAGUAAACAGCAGUUUUCUUAUUAGAAGCAAAUGCUCAAUGGAUUUCAAAGGAAGAUAUAGUUAUGGCAAUCAGAGAGGAAGAUCUGGAGGAAGCCAGGAAGAAAGGCCUGAAAAGUAUAGUACAAAAGUUUUGAAUCCCUAUGCCACAAUAUUUUAUUCGUCUGUGCAA